AUUAUAUAUUGUAAGCUUGAAUAAUCUUUGUUUUAGCAAACCUACUGAGAGGAAUUGUUCGAUGUUAAAAAAUAGAUAAAUACAAUUAUAUUCUCAAUUGCUAUUUAGCAUACCCUAAAACACCUUUUUGGCUUGCCACAUUAUAAACCAAAGCAAUGUUUUAUUUUCUUAUGAAUACAUUUUUGAGCCAUCAAGGGGAAAAUAAUAACAAUAAAAAAAAAUAAAAAAAAAUAAAAAAGGAUACAAAGCAGGAAAAGCCCUUUCUUAUUUCUUAUUUCUUAUUCUGUCAACCAUCGCUUAACCUGUCAGAUUCUGUUUUUUAACUUCGCAUCUCUAUUAAGAACACCGGCAGUGAUGAUCUUUGUUUAUUGAUUUAUUUACACACUGAUUUACUGAUUUAAUUUUUUGUUUUGUUUAAUUUUUUCCGCUCCAUAAUGUGGCAGCUCCUAUGAGUCCUUAUAUGUUUUGUAUUUUUUUAUAUUCAGUCCCUUAAUUUUCCCAUCAGGCUACAUCUGACUCUUGACCUUUCUCCUGUAUAAUCAUGAGUAAAACGCUCUGUUAGCUGUUUACUCACCAGCUUUCCAAGCUCUAUGGCUGGGACUAAAUACACAAGGCAAUAUUGGGAUGGAUUAGAUGGUUUUUAUAAUUUGUUUCGUUUGCAAAUAAAGUAUAAGCUAAUACUAAUACUGUUUGUAAAUGUAAUUCAUAGAGCAGGUUUGUAUUCAAUGAGUUUAUGCUGGUUUAUUACUAGAAACUACAUUUCAAUGUUAGUUAUACUGUCAUUGAAUUUUACUAAUAAUUAUAAUCACAACUUUGAGCAAUUUUCAUCAUUUUUCUCUUGGGUGGCUGCAUGUAGUACUAUUUUUCACCUUCAUCUAACAAGGGAAAAAAGACACAAAUGCCUUCAGGGUUGUGUCAGGAAGGACAUCUGGCAUAAGAACUGUCCAGAUCAAACAUGUGGAGCCACCUGGUGAUCCUGUGUGAGUAAGGGAGCACACCAUUUUACAUACCUGUUCUUGUAAACUGC
ensembl:lncRNA